UUGACGUUAGCUCAGCUGGCAGAGUUCUGGUUUGUGAAGCCAAGGGUCACCGGUUCGAAUCCGGUACGUCAACCCA
rnacentral:tRNA from 2 species